ensembl:lncRNA
AUUAAGAUGAUGGAUUGUGAGCGGCCUCAUUAAGUCACGCACCGCUGCUGACAGUACCGCCUGUCCUUUAAGACUGACACAGUGCCUAUUGUAAGGAAAUGGAAGAGUGCAGUGUUUGCAGUGUUGAGGAUGCCAUCAGGAAAAGCUGUCAUGGGUUCGCCAGCAGCUGUACGCUCCUUUUGGUAAUCCAUCUUCAUUGCUGAGAAGUAUACCGUGUUGUGACAGAACGGACACUGAGAGAUUCUAGAAAAUGGAAAGCAGGUACCUAACACAGAUACAGCCAGACAACCAAUCAGACCUCCAAUAUAUGCACUGGACUGGAUGGAGAAACUCAGCCGCCAGCCAAUAACACGCAAGACAGAGUGAGACGAGUAUCUGAAUCUGCUGAUGUAUCGCUGCAUUUUCUGCACUGGUUCUGCAGGACAAUUUGGGGAUUUAAACAUGACAUUAAAUGGUGAAAGCCGUAACUGAAAGCAUUUCAAUUUUGACAAAAAUUAAAUUAACAAACACACCAGCUGUGAAGAAGAAGAACUACAUUGCUGGUGUUACAAUUCUAUGGAUAUCCAUUAGAUAUCUAUAAAAUGCAAGUAAUGAUAUAAUUGUGCACAAGUAGGAUAGCAGUCUUAACUUUUAAAAGGGAAAAGGAAAUCAUAAAAAAUAU